UACGAAGGGGGCUAGCGUUGCUCGGAAUCACUGGGCGUAAAGGGUGCGUAGGCGGUUCUUUAAGUCAGGGGUGAAAUCCUGGAGCUCAACUCCAGAACUGCCUUUGAUACUGAAGAUCUUGAGUUCGGGAGAGGUGAGUGGAACUGCGAGUGUAGAGGUGAAAUUCGUAGAUAUUCGCAAGAACACCAGUGGCGAAGGCGGCUCACUGGCCCGAUACUGACGCUGAGGCACGAAAGCGUGGGGAGCGAACAGG
rnacentral:rRNA from 1 species